UGCACCAGCUGGGACACACCUAGCCAACUAGGUGCACCAUGGCUUGCCACAAGGUCACAACUGGUCCCUGGAGAGCCGCUGGUGGUGACGGGCUGCCUGUGCCCUCUCUGCGGCAAACCUCCACAAAUACUCCACUCACCAAGUUCCAGAGGGAGAGGAUCACCGGCCGUACUAAAGGAAGUGGCUCUAUGUAGGGAUGGAACAUGGCAACUGCACCA